rnacentral:rRNA from 1 species
UACAUGAGUGGUAAGCGUUGUCUUUAAUAGUUCAGUGUAAAACAUCCUAUGAAAGUCUGUGUUACCCAAAAGAAAAUAAUUUAUUUCACAGACACAAUUUUUAUAAAAAAAUAACUUAUUUUAAUAAAUAAAGGUAAAAUUUUAAAAUUAACUUAAGAUAACCAAACUAAAGGGUAGUUAUUGUAUAUAAAUAAUUUUUUAGGAUCAAAGUAUAGGUAUUAAAAAGGAUUAGAGACCCUCGUAAUCUAUACUAUCAAUUAUGAAACAUAAUAUAUAAUUUAGCUAACGUAAAAUGUUUCUACUGGGGGACUAAAAUCGCAAGAUUCAAACUUAAAAAAAUUGGCGGGACUUUUUAUACGGUGGAGCGUGUGGUUUAAUUCGGUAAUCCUCGAAAAACCUUACUAAAACGUUAUAAUAAAAUACAGUUAUUAAUUUACCGGUAUAUUUAUAUAAUAGGUAUUGCAUGGCUGUCGUCAGUUCGUGUUUUAAAAUGUAGCAUUUAGUUGUAUAAACGAACGUAACCUGCAUAUAGUUGUAUAUAGCAGAUGAAGUCAAGUCUUUAUGGUCUACGUGUUUUAGGCUAUACAUGCGCUACAAUACCAAAAACAAUUGUCUAUAACGUAAUAAUACGUUACAAUAAUAAUUGGUAUAAGAUUAUUCUUUGUAAGUCAAGAAUAUGAAAUCGAAAUCGUCAGUAAUCGUAGUUUAGAAUGAUACGAUGAAGUUUUUUCCAAGUUUGCACACACCGCCCAUCACGCUCGGAGAGUUAAAUUAACUUAAGUUAGUACUUAAUAAAAUUUUAUUACGUACUCUCAGAAAUUAAUUUAGUAAUUUGAGUGAAG